GGUAGUGCACUACUUCUGAGUCCCUAUGGGGGUAGUGCACUACUUCUGAGUCCCUAUGGGGGUAGUGCACUACUUCUGAGUCCCUAUGGGGGGUAGUGCACUACGGUGAAAAGGAUGCAUCUAUAUUGGGAAUAGGUACAUAAGAGCCAUGAGUGAGGAGGUGGUACCGUUUAAACAAAAUGUCUUUUAAAGGCCCCUAUUCCUUUAUAGUGCAUACCCCUAGGGACUCUGGUCAAAAGUAGUGCACUAUGUAGAAUAGGGUGCCAAGUGCCAUAAAUAAGGAGAUACUUGGCCUGCCUCCCCAAUGGCUCCCUAUGGGGCCCACUGUAAAGGGAAUAUAAUGCCAGUGUAGCCCACGUAUCAUAGCAAACAGGAUGGAUGCCAGUGUAGCCCACAGUUUCAUAGCAACAGGAAGGAUGCCAGCGUAGCCCACAGUUUCAUAGCAACAGGUGGUGCCAGUGUAGCCCACAGUUCAUAGCAACAGGAUGGAUGCCAGUGUAGCCCACGUUUCAUAGUAACAUGAUGGAUGCCAGUGUAGCCCCACGUUUCAUAGCACAGGAUGGAUGCCAGUGUAGCCCCACGUUCUUAGUAACAUGAUGGAAUGCCAGUGUAGCCCCAGUUUCAUAGCAACAGGAUGGAUGCCAGUGUAGACCCCAGUAUCAUAGCAACAGGAUGGAUGCCAGCGUAGCCCCAGUAUCAUAGCAACGGAAGGAUGCCCGCGUAGCCCGCAGUUCAUAGCAACGGCAGCCAUCUGUGAGCCAGACAAACCAUGUCUUAAGUGUGUGUGUCUCAAAAGGCUCACUAUUCCCUAUAUUAUAGUGAAUACUUUGAACAGGGUCCGUAGAAAAGCCCCAUAGAGCUCUGGUCACACAGCAGGCACUAUAUAGGGAAUGGGUUAACAUUGGAGACGCAGACCAAGUUCUGUAUAAUUGGAUGGUUUCUCCUAAUGUCUUAUUAAAGUGGUAGUUUAAGCAAUAGCAGCGGGGGUUGGUAUAUGCCAAAGGCCAGAGGGGGGUGGUAUAUGGCAAUAAGGCCAGAGGGGUGUGGUAUAUGGCCAAUAAGGCCAGAGGGGGUGUGGUCUAUGGCCAAUAAGGCCAGAGGGGGUGUGGUAUAUGGCCAAUAUACCACGGGCCAGUGGUUAGAGCGUUGGGACAGAAACCGAAAGGUUGCGAAGAUCAAAUCCCCGAGCGUCGUUCUGAACAGGCAGUUAAACCCACUGUUCCUAGGCCGUCAUUGUAAAUAAGAAUUUGUUUCUUAUUAUUAACUGACUGACCUCGAAAUAAAAGGUUAAAAAACAAAAUAAACACCCACAAACCCCC
rnacentral:lncRNA from 1 species